rnacentral:rRNA from 1 species
CCUACGGGAGGCUGCAGUGGGGAAUAUUGGGCAAUGGAGGCAACUCUGACCCAGCAACGCCGCGUGAAUGAUGAAGGUCUUCGGAUCGUAAAGCUCUGUGAUGGGGGAUGAACACAAUGACGGUACACCAAUCGCAAGCCACGGCUAACUAAGUGCCAGCAGCCGCGGUAAUACGGGGGAUGCGAGCGUUAUCCGGUUUUAUUGGGUUAAAUGGGUGCGUAGGCGGUCCGGAAAGUCAGCGGGAAAAGCCCGGGGCUCAACCCCGGCGAGCCGUUGAAACUGUCGGACUAGAGACGGCGAGAGGAACGCGGAAUGCGCUGUGUAGCGGUGAAAUGCAUAGAUAUCGCGCAGAACUCCGAUUGCGAAGGCAGCGUACCGGCGCCUAACUGACGCUGAGGCACGAAAGCGUGGGUAUCGAACAGGAUUAGAUACCCUGGUAGUC